rnacentral:lncRNA from 1 species
AAAAGAUAAUAAGAAAGACUCAAUCAUUAUUUUAACUGACCAAGCUUUAGACUAUCUACUUGAUUUAGCUUUAGUAUAGGAGUACAUGACUAAUUACAUGCUAACAUAAAAAAAGAAGGCCAAAUACCAAAUGUAUUUUGUGCUAACAUAAUACGGGCUUCUUUGCUGCCAUUUCAUUGUGUUGGAGCUUUUCUUAAGUACACGACUACAGGGAGAAACCAAGAUAUGUUACUUGAAAUAACUUCAUCCACUAUAGAAAGAAAUUAUCCCAACAGUUUCUAUUAUCCUAAUAAUUUUUUCCUUUAACACAGCCAACUAUCACUAAUGGAGUCCUGAAGUUGACUCGAUUGCGGCGUUGGUGGAUGCAUCGGCUCACGACCACAGACUUGACCGCCUCAUGAAGCGUUGUUGCCUCAUUGCCGCCUACCACCGGCGCCACCACCUCCGUGGGCAGGUUUCGUCUGUCGAAGCAUGCAAUGUUUGGCUCUUCUGUUUGUUUGCUUUUUUGGCAAAAUGAAAUACAGAUAAAUAAUUGAUAGACCAAUAACUUCAACAAUAUAAGGUGAAUUCAGAUUACUCAGGCAAACAAUAGAAACACAAUAUAUACUUUGGUAGAGAAAACCUUGUAUAUGUUUCAAUACAUAAUCUAAUGUGACUUUCAUGCAUUUCAAUAUCUACAAGAGGGUUAACACAAGAACCAUACAGUACCAUCUUGGAUCUUCCUGCCAUCAGAUCAAUGUUUUAAUACAUCAUUAGUGCAAGCCCAUACCAGCUGAAAACACAAACAUGGAAUUAGUUAUACAUCCAAUAUUUUGACAAAAUGAUGGAUUCUUUCUGACGACGGCAUGCUUCAAAGCCCAUACCAGAUGAAAACACAAACAAUAGAAGCAAGCCGAAGUGAUUAAAAGACAUGCAUGUCCAUUGCUAAAUUUGUGUUUUGUUGGGUAUUUCUCCCAUUCUAGCAUCUAUCCAGGAUAAUUAUUCCAAAAUCCAAACUACAAAGGACAAGGAGUUAUAACCUUUGAACAUAGGAACUUUAGCUGUGCAACUAUAGUUGUGCCUCACCCCAAAAGAGGCCAUCUUCACUACAAAGAAAGCAAUUAGUAUCUCACGCUCCAGUUAUGAGUUAGUCUUACUUAAAACUCUGAUUCAUUAAAUGGUCAAAAGAUGCACCCUUAUAUGUUGUUACUCUGCAACGAAGAAAGUCUCUCUAUGUGUACUAUUUUUCUUUUUGGUAUCCAAACAAAGCAUCGUCCCCUAGAAACUAAUUCCAUGUUUGUGUUUUCAGCUAGUAUGGGCUUGCACUAAUGAUGUAUUAAAACAUUGAUCUGAUGGCAGGAAGAUCCAAGAUGGUACUGUAUGGUUCUUGUGUUAACCCUCUUGUAGAUAUUGAAAUGCAUGAAAGUCACAUUAGAUUAUGUAUUGAAACAUAUACAAGGUUUUCUCUACCAAAGUAUAUAUUGUGUGUCUUGAAUUGUCUUGACAUCAUUUGCCUACAUGCUCGUAUACUUAUCAACAUGUGAAUGUAUCGACACUGACGCAUGCAAGAUGCACGCGCACGCGCACACACACACACAUAUUUUUUCCUAGAUGUUAACCUUGCUGCCAAGUUAUGUUUGUUUGAUAUGCAAGUCUGAACUUGAGAAGUAAAUAGCAACUUUACCUCGCUGCAGCAUCGAAUCAAUCUGAGACCAUCAACAUCCACCCUGAAAUGGUCGCUCUACAGUAACAUACAAGCACAACCGAAUUCCCGGCACGGAUCUUGUGUCCUGUGCAGGUAGAGCUUUCUCCUCACGUCUUCCCUUCCCUUCAUUCCUGAAAUUGUAGGGAUUAACAGAAAAUGAGCCUAGUAGAAUGUGUACAAAGCAAUUUCCAAUCACCUUAGCAGUGGCAAUUGUUCAAAAACUCAAAGGCUAUCACCGAGACUGACACACCUUUUUCUUUGAGGAACACACAUGCCUCAAAAAACUUGCUGGAUAACACUAAAUAUAUUGCUAUGCUACCUCUCACAUGGAGGAAAUGAUUAUAUUAUUUUAUGAUAAACCAUGAAGCGGAAGACUGAAGACCAGCAGCAUACUCUGAUACUAUAAUUUAGCUCAUAUAAUUCCAGAUUUAGUCCAUACACUAUUUAAACACUUGGCUACAGAGGCAAAAAAAUGAGUAGUGGCAUGCAUACCUUUAAAAUGACCAAAACUCAAAGAAUGAAAACAUUCCAAUUCCAAGCACCUGUUAUUUUUCACAUGGGUGGAAACAAUAUGAGCAGCUCAAACUGUUACUGGUAAUCAAAUAAUAAGAGGUACUUUGGCAAUAUUAUUAUAAAUAUAUCUUCGUGAAAAAUAGUUAUUUAUACAUGGAUAUAGCUAUAUAUCUGAAGAAAACAUAACCGGUACAUAUAAAUUAGGCAUCAAAGAAAAAUACCUUGUUGAUUUCUCUUUCUUAUAAGAAAUAUCAGUUCGUGUGCACCAUCUCCAUCACAUCCUUUCCGAGCAGGCACGACACCUAAGCCGAUGAACCUGAAAGUUGAGCUCGUACUUCCCGGAAUACUCUGUAAAGCAAUGAAAAGUAAACAUAGUAACCGAAUUAAGAUAUUACAGGUAUAUAAAUGGAUCAACCGGAGAAGCUUACCUUCACGAGGAAAGAGCCAUAAACCCACAAGUUUUAAUCCAUCGCUUCCUGCAAGUAACAAUGGAAUUAAUAGGGUAGUUUAAUAGUAACAAUGGAAUUAAUAGGGUACUUGAAUACGACACUUUAUGGACAAUAAACAAUAAGAGGAUCUAGCUCUGUGUUCAACUACAUAUCGUUAGUCCCUGCGUAUAAUAUAUAAGGAUUUGGCAAGGACCAGUAGGACAGCUAAUUUUGAGGGAGAAAUUCAUGCCAAAAUAAAAAAUCUAAUUAGCCGGAUCAAUAAUCCUAUGAUAGUAUGAUUUGACUGAAUAUAGACGGAUGAAAUCAUCAAUCUCACCUUUCGAUUGAGCUCCACAAUGAUUAAUUUCUAAAAUCCAUGUGAUUUUCGUUGCUCUACUUAACUGGUCUUCGCUACAACUUUAUCCACUUUUCCUUAAAAGCUACAUGAAACCAGACAUGCCUCAAAUGCUUACCUUUCUGGAUGAUGGCCUACUAUGUAGACUACACAAACCGAAGGAAGCAGAUAGUAGAAGACGAAGAUCUUGCAAGCUAUCAGCCAACCAAAACAUAACUCUGACGAAA